rnacentral:misc_RNA from 1 species
UUACUAUUUAAAGUAGACAUCCCAAAUACAUAAAAAGAGGCGCAUGUAAAAAGGGGCAGGCGGCUCCAGGUCCUGGAGAGCCCACCUAGAGGGUGCACAAGGUGUGUGGAAAUGAUGGGGACGUGCACAUGCCCAGAGGGCCAGCACAGUCCCCAACAGUCAAACUCGAUAAUGAUCCUUCCGCAGGUUCACCUACGGAAA